rnacentral:rRNA from 1 species
AACCGGAGGAAGGUGGGGAUGACGUCAAAUCAUCAUGCCCCUUAUGAUUUGGGCUACACACGUGCUACAAUGGACAAUACAAAGGGCAGCGAAACCGCGAGGUCAAGCAAAUCCCAUAAAGUUGUUCUCAGUUCGGAUUGUAGUCUGCAACUCGACUACAUGAAGCUGGAAUCGCUAGUUAUCGUAGAUCAGCAUGCUACGGUGAAUACGUUCCCGGGUCUUGUACACACCGCCCGUCACACCACGAGAGUUUGUAACACCCGAAGCCGGUGGAGUAACCUUUUAGGAGCUAGCCGUCGAAGGUGGGACAAAAGAUU